rnacentral:rRNA from 1 species
GACCAGACUCCUACGGGAGGCAGCAGUGGGGAAUAUUGCACAAUGGGGGAAACCCUGAUGCAGCGACGCCGCGUGAGCGAUGAAGUAUUUCGGUAUGUAAAGCUCUAUCAGCAGGGAAGAAGAUGACGGUACCUGACUAAGAAGCCCCGGCUAACUACGUGCCAGCAGCCGCGGUAAUACGUAGGGGGCAAGCGUUAUCCGGAUUUACUGGGUGUAAAGGGAGCGUAGACGGCGAUGCAAGCCAGAUGUGAAAGCCCGGGGCUCAACCCCGGGACUGCAUUUGGAACUGUGUGGCUGGAGUGUCGGAGAGGCAGGCGGAAUUCCUAGUGUAGCGGUGAAAUGCGUAGAUAUUAGGAGGAACACCAGUGGCGAAGGCGGCCUGCUGGACGAUGACUGACGUUGAGGCUCGAAAGCGUGGGGAGCAAACAGGAUUAGAUACCCGAGUAU